ACACACACACACACACUCACAGACACACAUAAAAACAUACACAGACACACACACACACAAACCAGACAGUGUGUGCUGCUGAAGUGUCAGUAAUGUGAGUGUUGUGUUGUCUUGCAGUGUGUCUUCCUGCAGGAAAUCAACACCGAGACACUGACUGGAAGGAGCUUUACAAAAAGAAGUAUAAGCAGAGGAAGGAGAAUGAGCGCCGGGGCAGAUGCCGCUUUUUCCCGCCUCACGUGCCUCCGAUUUUCCCGCUCAACCCCGUCCCGUCCUCUCCACUUCCUUUUCCUCUCUAUCCUCCCGGCAUCAUCGGCGGAGAUUACGACCAGGCGCCCGUCAUCCUGCCCCGCCCACGCUUCGACCCCAUUGGCCCGCUCCCGGGUCAUCUGCCAGGAUUGGGCGUUCCCAUUGGCCGACGGAGCCUGAGGCCGGGAGGAAGUCGACCGGCGGACGUCCGGAGAGGUUUCAUUUGAACACUUUAAAAUGCUCAUCUUCCCAAACAGAGCAAGGUCCAAUUAUUUUGAUUGUUUGAUUUUUUUUUUUUUUUUGUGUUCUUCAUUAAUUAAAGCAUUCCUGCGAAAUUCAGACGCGAAUAUUCAUUACAGGAAUAAUUCACCCAAAAACAUUACAGAUGAUGCUUUUUAGAGCAAGAUGUGUUUAAGGCAUAAACAACAUUCAAUAAAAAGUUCAGAAUGA